rnacentral:rRNA from 1 species
CAACCCUUGAGAGUGGCGAACGGGUGAGUAAUAUAUCGGAACGUGCCCAGUCGUGGGGGAUAACGCAGCGAAAGCUGCGCUAAUACCGCAUACGAUCUAUGGAUGAAAGCGGGGGAUCGCAAGACCUCGCGCGAUUGGAGCGGCCGAUAUCAGAUUAGGUAGUUGGUGGGGUAAAAGCCCACCAAGCCGACGAUCUGUAGCUGGUCUGAGAGGACGACCAGCCACACUGGGACUGAGACACGGCCCAGACUCCUACGGGAGGCAGCAGUGGGGAAUUUUGGACAAUGGGCGCAAGCCUGAUCCAGCAAUGCCGCGUGCAGGACGAAGGCCUUCGGGUUGUAAACUGCUUUUGUACGGAACGAAACGGUCUGGGUUAAUACCCUGGGCUAAUGACGGUACCGUAAGAAUAAGCACCGGCUAACUACGUGCCAGCAGCCGCGGUAAUACGUAGGGUGCGAGCGUUAAUCGGAAUUACUGGGCGUAAAGCGUGCGCAGGCGGUUUUGUAAGACAGGCGUGAAAUCCCCGGGCUCAACCUGGGAAUGGCGCUUGUGACUGCAAAGCUGGAGUGCGGCAGAGGGGGAUGGAAUUCCGCGUGUAGCAGUGAAAUGCGUAGAUAUGCGGAGGAACACCGAUGGCGAAGGCAAUCCCCUGGGCCUGCACUGACGCUCAUGCA